UGACGAGGAACUCUACUACUU
rnacentral:miRNA from 1 species